rnacentral:lncRNA from 1 species
AUGCUGCCGGUUUAAUGCUAUCUUUAUUCGUACUCAGCGCGCAUCAGACGUCGCUUUCCGACAGCGGAGCGCUCGAAUCCCAAUUAAACAUAGGCCGCAGCAGAGGAGACGGAUGCCUGCUACGGAGCGCUAACGGAGCAACAGCAUUUUCCUGAACCAUAAAACAUGCUCUAAACGGUCUUCCGACGCGCCAUCGAGCCUGCUUGACUUGUGAGAGGUUAUUCGAAGAUACUGAAAUUAUAUCAUUGAAAUGCUACGUUCCGUAAACUAUAAUUUUUACUUCCAACGAAGUCUAAAUUUCACACAUGCUGCAUCAAUGUGUUCAGUCAAUGUGAGACUCGUGAGUUAUCUACGGCGAUCAACUCAUAACCUUAACCUGAACCAGGGCGCCAGUCACAUUGACAGUGGAAAUAGUCUCACAUUUUUAAUUCACAUGUCGAAGACUAUGUCACCCGUUGCAGUCUACGACCGGUUUACCAUGGUGGGCAACCAUAGUUUUAACCACAGUUAUAGUAAGAAGUACUUUGACGCUACCAUUGAGUCUUUAUCAACAUUACAUUAUUGCCAAAGUUCAAAAUUUGAACAUCGAAAUGAGUGAUAUUGUUAAAAAACUGCAAGCCGAAGCAAAUGUAGCUGUAUCACAUUACAAAUGUCCUAAACAUCAUGCUAGGAUGCUGUAUAAUACAAAGGUACUUACUUUCCUUUUUACUUUC